GCUGUUGUAGCUCAGUAGGCAGAGCACGGGCAUGGUAAGUCCGAGGUCGACGGUUCGAGACCGUCCAACAGCACCA
rnacentral:tRNA from 1 species